rnacentral:rRNA from 1 species
AUUAAAAAUUAAUUUACUUUAAAAUUUCAAGGUUCCUUAAGAGAAUUUUCUUUAUCUUUAGUAGUUU